UAACUAUACUAACACGGUAACCCACCAGUCCCCAUUCCCUUCCUUCCAACCCAUCAACACCCAAUCCCAAAUCUCUCACUCCCUAACCCUAGCACAGCAAACGCCGUCGCCAUCGUCAGCCCCCAGCUCGUCGUGAAACCCCACCAGCCACCGUGAACCCCUAGACGCCGCCACUCUUUUCUUCCUCACCUUCUUUGUGCUCGUCGCGAAGCCCCACCAACCGCCGCUACUCUUCUCCUCCUCACCGUCUCUAUGCUCGUCGUGAAGCCCGCCUCUGUGAUCGUCGUCGUCGGCCUUGUUCUCGUCGCCGUCCCGGACGUCUUUGCUUGGCUUCUAUCUCUUCAAGCUCGCUCUCUCUCCCUCUCCGAUCUCACUCUGUCUCACACGAAACGCGAACGUCUCUGCUCGCUUGUCCUCCUAGCCGUCACCUCCGUUUAACUGCUCGGCCAUCACCUCCUCUCGGACGGCUCUUUUGCUCGGCUGUCUUGUCUUCUCCAAAAGUACAAAAGGCUCUUUUGCAAUUUGAUGUCCACUCAAAAUUUGCUUUUCAGUUUUUAUUUUUUAUUUUGAAUGCUAUAUAGAAUAUUUUUUAUUCUGGAUUCUGUAAUUCUAGAUUUUUGAAUGUUACAUCAAAUUUUGUAAUAUGGAUUAUCUUUAUGAUGGGAACAAUGGAAUACUUAAUGAUGAUUAUGAUUACUAAUGAGUAGUGUCUUUAUUUAGUUGAAA